GAUGAACGCUGGCGGCGUGCCUAAUACAUGCAAGUCGAGCGAACAGACGAGGAGCUUGCUCCUCUGACGUUAGCGGCGGACGGGUGAGUAACACGUGGAUAACCUACCUAUAAGACUGGGAUAACUUCGGGAAACCGGAGCUAAUACCGGAUAAUAUAUUGAACCGCAUGGUGCAAUAGUGAAAGACGGUUUUGCUGUCACUUAUAGAUGGAUCCGCGCCGCAUUAGCUAGUUGGUAAGGUAACGGCUUACCAAGGCAACGAUGCGUAGCCGACCUGAGAGGGUGAUCGGCCACACUGGAACUGAGACACGGUCCAGACUCCUACGGGAGGCAGCAGUAGGGAAUCUUCCACAAUGGGCGAAAGCUUGACGGAGCAACGCCGCGUGAGUGAUGAAGGUCUUCGGAUCGUAAAGCUCUGUUAUUGGGGAAGAACAAAUGUGUAAGUAACUAUGCAUGUCUUGACGGUACCUAAUCAGAAAGCCACGGCUAACUACGUG
rnacentral:rRNA from 1 species